AGCCCAAAGCCAGGAUAAAAGGGCCUCACGGUCAGGGCACCUCUAUACCCUCCUCUCCUGAGGUGCUGACAAACCCAGUGCUGCCUGUGGACCGCUCCUGACCCCGCCAGCCCAGAUGUCCUGCCAGCAGAACCAGCAGCAGUGCCAGCCCCCUCCCAAGUGUCCCACCCCCAAAUGCCCCCCAAAGUGUCCCCCAAAGUGCCCCCCAGUCUCUUCCUGCUGCAGUGUUAGCUCUGGGGGCUGCUGUGGCUCCAGCUCUGGGGGUGGCAGCUGCUGUAGCUCUGGGGGUGGUGGCUGCUGUAGCUCUGGGGGUGGUGGGUGCUGCCUGAGCCACCACAGGCGACACAGGUCCCACCGUCGUAGACACCAGAGCUCUGGCUGCUGCAGCCAGCCCUCAGGGGGCUCAGGAUGCUGCAGCCAGCCCUCGGGGGGCUCUGGCUGCUGUGGAGGAGGCAGCAGUCAGUCCUCUGGAGGCUGCUGCUGAUGGGGACCCUGUGCCAAGAAAAGUAUGCUUGAGGAUAGCGAGUAACCAAAUCCUUCCUCUUGCUCCUAUUUUCCUGCUGGUUCUGUCCAUAUGGUUCAGGGGUCUGAGUGAAGGCUUGUGCUCUGCCCCACAGGAUCCCUGUUCCCUGGUGUCCAGGAGCCACAACCCCUCCCCCAACCCCAUUUACUCACCUUCUCCCCCAUAUGCAUGGCUGCCCUAGGAAUCCAAAGCACAGACCCUACACCUUUCAGUAGCUUACCUUGUUGUAAACCCAGCCUGAUGUGAAACAAUAAAACUAGAAAUCUUCA